GCAUGUUAUUUAAAUCAUUAAAAACACACCAUGUCACAGAUAAUAUAUAAUGAUGUAAUACUUGAACAAGCUUUAAGGUGACAAAUUACGUGUAUUGCACAAAAUAAAAAAAUAAAUCUUGUGUGUUCAUUUUACAGAAAUCUUGUCAAGAAGUUGUGAUUGAUGGAUUUAAACUGAAAAAUUGUUCGUGCAUUGCGGUUGACGCUUUCCAUUGUGCAGGAAGAAAAGGAACAAAGUUUUGAAUUAUUUCAGGUAAUAUUUACUAGUUUUAGAUGGGAUGUAUUUUAUAUUAUAUAUUUUACAGGGUGCACAAUCAAAUGAGAUGAAGCUGAUAAAAACAAAUAAUGCAGUUUUGAUAUUUAAAAUUUUAUGUUAUCCUAUCUUUUAUGGUGGUUGAUACAUUAAAACGUUAAAAGUAUUUCUAUUUUAGAAAUUUGAAAUUUUGAAUAUUAUUUAUUUUACAGGAUGCACAAUAAAUGAGAUGAAGCUGAUAAAAACAAAUAAUUCAGUUUUGAUAUUUACAAUUUUAUUUAUUCUAUCUUUAAUGGGUUUUCAUACAUGUAUAGAAAUGUUUAAAGUAUCAAGUUGUAUUUUAGAAAUUUGAAAUUUGAAACUUUGAUUACAUACUAGUUAUCAGGCUUUCCUAAAUGGGGGUGAUACGUUGAAAAGUAUAAAGAAUUUCAGUUAAGUAUUUGAAAUGUUAUACAUGUGUUACAUUACUGUCUUACAAAGGGUGGAUUUAGCCAUUUUCAAAAAGGGGGGGGGGGGGGGGGGGGGAGUCCCAACCCAGGAUUAAGGGGGGUUCCAACCAUCUGUCCCCAUUCAAAUGCAUUGAUGAUCAAAAAAAAGGAGGGGUCAAAACCCGGGGAACUUUUUGUGGAUCUGCCACUGCAUGUCUCGAGACUAUUUCCUUCUGAACUAUGCUGUUAAUUUACCACUGGUCAUUUAACUUCCAUCCAUAUAUCCACUGUCCUGGCACUUGUAUAACAUUUGAGCUGCUAGAAAUCAACCAUAUGCAAGGUCAUAUACGAGGGUCUGGAUAGGGGGGGGUCUGUUAUUCUGUAAACAUUUAAUUUUGACCCCUUUUUUCUCUCAUCUUCAAAAAAUUUACCCCUUUUUUCUCUAAUCUUCAAAAAAUUAGACCACACAUUUCUCUAAUCUUCAUUUUUUUUGCCCGUUAUUCUCUAAUUUUCAUUUUUAAGAGCAUUAUUCUUUAAUCAUUUAACCCCAUCCAAACCCUCAUAUACACUUGUACAACAUGUAUAACAGUGGCGGAUCCAGAACUUUUCCUAAGGGGGGGCCCGCUGACUGACCUAAGGGGUGGCCCGCUCCAGUCAUGCUUCAAUGAUUCCCUAUAUAAUCAACCAAAUUUUUCCCACGAAAGGGGGGGCCCGGGCCCCCCAGGGCCCCCCUGGAUCUGCCUAUGUAUAAGACUUUGAGUGAUACUGAACAUUAGACUACGCAGAAAAAGAUUAAUUUUGGUCUGUUUUGUUAAGGGUUCUUAUACCAAAUCCAUUUUUUAAAAUGUUACAGUCUUUGAAUAGAGAUUUUAUGAACAUGAAAUAGUAUAAGGCCAAAUAAAAAUAUAUGUGUGGUUCCAGUGACCCUACGUUCCCUACUUUUUCGUCUUGAAAUUAGCCUACCCUAAAGAUUUUAUUGUCAUUUUUCAUUAAGCACUGUUAAAGUCAGAAUGAUGCUCCUGUAGACUCAAUGUAAAAAUAAAACAUAAAAUAAAAAAAAAUCCCUACCUACCUACCCUAAUUUUUUUUAAGAUGUAACUGGAACCACAUAUACUUUUUUAUUUGGCCUAAGAGAUGUAUUGAAAUUUGAUUUCUAUCAGACACAGAGCAUUUUAUACAGUUUCUCUGCAGGUUUCAGUAAAAUUGGCAAACACUGACUUGAUAGCCAUAAAAUUGAUAAAGGAUUGGAAAGGACAAUAUGAUAAGAAUGGACAUGUAUUAAAAAUGUCAUAAUAUUUAUAUUGUAAACAAUUCUGUAAUUUAGUAAAAAAAUGACAUUUGGGACUUUCCUUUCACAUUUCUCAGAUAUGAAAUAUAUAUUUUGUAACAAACACAUUGAGUGUCAAAAUGUAAUAAAAGUUAAUUAAUUAGACAGUAAUAGUAAUGUACAUAUCAUGUCACAAUAAAUGUAAAAUGUCAUUAUAUGAUAAAAGCAACUUAAUUAAACAUUGUAAUGAUAGUGUUGAUAUCUGACUGGGAAGUGAUGGUGCUUUGUAAUCAUUGUUUGUUUGGUAUUUAGUGAUAUUGUCAAUGAUAUCAUUGCUCCUAUUGAUUAGCCUGGGGUCCUGGCUAAUCUUGUCAGUAUAGCCAGGCGUGUAUCAAUGAACUGCCUGUCAAUGAUUGGUUAAUACUAAUUUUGUCCUCAAUGUUUGUUUAACAUCUGUAUCCAAUCAAUUCUUGUUUAACAUCAAUUAGUAAAAAUUAGACUGUAAUUAUUUUUCUUUAUGAAUUGAUGUAUAGUGUUAUCAUAUCUAAUUAUUAGUAUGAUGAUAAUUAGUAAGCAGAAAAGGGUUCAUUCUUAUCAGCAAUCGCCUGGUGAGAAAGUUAAAAGUUUAAGAUUUCACAUGUCCAAGGUGUCAAUUGGAUUCCAAUUGUGCUGGUUUACAUCAAACAUCAAAAUUUAUGCAAAUAUUUAUUCAGCCUCACUUUAGAUUCAGAGUCAACUGGCACUGAAUCGAUCACAUGGUAUUUGUUCCCCACCUGGCCCUUACGACGCGCAGCUAGAUUGGGCCGGAUCCCAGGCUACCUAUUGAUUGGCUCCUGGGAAUGGAUUAAUUGAACAAUAAAUUUGUUCUGAUUGGGUUGUCAAUAUUAAUUACAAUUGAAGCUGGGAUGGAUAUUGUAAAAGUCAUGUGGAAUGGAAGCAAAAAAUUCAAAAUAAUUGAAAAUAUGGUAUUGCUUUGAAGACUUAACUUGAGGUUCCUGGUGCGUAGUGUCUAAAGAGCUUGUGUUGCUCACCUGCAUCUUCAACAAUUGCCACUUUUUAUGUAAAUAUCAUCAUUUAUAAAGGGAAUUACAGUAGUAAGAGUUAGCAUGUUGACAUACUUCUAGAUCUUUUCCUGCAGAUCAGUUUCUAUUUUAAAUUUCUAUUCAUCUCAAGUUAUAAAUAAGCAAAAAAAGUCCCCAAAAAUGGUAUGAACUAUCAUGUAAUCAAGGGCAAUAACUCCAAUUAAGAGUCUAACAGAAGAUUUCAACCAUGAGGGGAACUGUGCAUUUGUAGAUAUGUUUGAAGAAAUGAAAAUGUUGUAGUUAAUCCUGAAUUCAAAGUUUUGGCCAAUAACAACUCGAUCUGCUUAAAGUUUUUACAGUAUAGUGCUUUAAGCUGGUGGCAUGGGAUUCAGCACAUUAUUAUAAAAGAGCAUAAGAUAUAAAUGGUGUCAAUAUGUAUAAAGGAACAUCUUUAUUUAGCUUUUGGUGUAGGAUUUUUGAUUCAUUGAUUACUUGGAUUAUUUUUGUGAGCAAAUAACUGAAUUUUGAUUACUUAUUUAUGUUAUUAAUACAAAAAAUACCUCAAUAUAACAUUAUAGACAUUCUGAAAAGUGUACAUCAACAAAAAAAAAAGUACUCUAAAGAUUGCUUAACAAAUUUAUUCCAUUAUCUUAAACAAAUGAUCUUUAUGAUUAAUUACUAGAACAGCCCUAUGAACAAGUAUAGAAAGUGCCUGUCUUAUCUUUAAUCAACUCUGACAUUACCAAGGUCAUGGUCAAUCAAAACCAACUGCCUUCUUCAGUAACCAUCUGUUAUCUUAGUCAAUCGGAUGUUUAUAACAGCAAUGUGUAGCUUUAUCACAACAAAGCUUGUGUGUGAAUGAGGAUAACAGCUGUUUGUAUCUCAUCAAUGUUUUACUCACCCAGAUGCUUCAUUCAUCUUUAUGACCUUUGACAUUGAUGAGUGGAGAAUUUGUUGAAGAAGCCACAAGAAUUUUUAUGAGGAUUUAAUUUUUUUGCUAAUGAAGUUGGAAUGCUAUAGAUUAUACUUUUUCUUGUCAGGUUUGUUUGUAAAUUUUGUUUUCUGAUAUUUGAGUGUUUGGAAAAAAAAACAAGGCAUUUAAUGCCUUAAAUUAUAAUGGAAAUUAAGCUUUAAAAAGAUGUAUUCUGUUUAUCGGUAAGAUGAUUUAUUGAUGGAGGAAUGAUGCCUUCAGAGGAAACCAGUUUACUUUCAUAUCCUUAAUACUGCAAAUUCAGAAAUUAUUGCGUGCAUUUAUUAUUGCGAUUUUGUCAUUUUAAGUCUAAAAUGUGAUUUUAAUUUUUACAAUUUUGAGAAAAAUCCAGUUUAAUUCAUAUAAAAUAUUUCAAAAUGCGAGUUUAAAUUAUUGCGUUUACAACUCUGUCGCAUUUUUUGCGAUAAUAAAAACCUCACAAAAAUUUCUGAAUUUACAGUAUAUCAUCUUCCAAAGGUAUAAGGGAGCUACCAUUUGAUUUUUAAGGGGGGGCUAGGAUGAAAAAUUUUGUCCUGUAUUUUUUUUUUUAGCUGUAAUCUCUGUCCUGCCUUUUUAUUUUUCACUCUGUUCGGUCCUGCCUUUUUUUUUUAGUUUAUCCUGACUUUUUUUUUACCUAAAUUGUCGUCCUGACUUUUUUUUUUUGAAGUGUCUCAUCCUGCUUUUUUUACUCAAAACUCCUGUCCUCCUAUUUUUUUCAAAUUUCAUCCUAGCCCCCCCCCAUAAAAAUCAAAUGGUAGCUCCCUAAACUGAUAAACAUUUUUCUGUCUCUUUCAUACCAUGAAAUUUUGGUAUUACAUUAGGAAAUUACAAAUCAGGUAUUCUGAAAUUUGGUAGCCAACUUUCCUUGAGCUGCCUUUCAACAAUCAACUUGCAACUUUUACUUUAGAAUGUCAACCAAUUUUUAUGCAGACUGCAUGACUUUUACCAUAUUUAUUUUGAUAAUUUUUUACUAAUGAUAAUGUAUGAAUUUUCAUCACAUUUAUCUCAGACAAUAUGAAUGAUUAGAGCUUCCACAAAUUGUGUAUCAAGUUUCAAGUGAGAUUAAUAAAUAUAUGCAGUUUCAUAAGUUUAAUUUCAUAUUCAUUGCUCAUCAACUUACUGUAUACUAAAAACUUAAUGCAGAGGUAUCAUUAGUGAGCAGCAGCUGAGAGUGUAUCUAGUUUAUAAUAGGUUAUAUAUGCUUUUGACCUGAAUUACUUUGGGAAAAUGGAAAUGCAAAAGAGUAAUAAAAAAAAUGUAUUUAAGAUUUAAUCAAUAAACUAUGUAAAUAAGUGUUGAGGUCUUCCUAUAAAAACUGUCAUUGACUUACAACUAAAAAAUAGUUAAAACAAACCUUUUGACAGCCACAGGUCAUCAUAAAAAAAAGUAUAUGUAAAGGAUUUACUAUGUCAUAAUGAAGAAAAAAAGAGAGGUGAGAUGUACUUUUUAAUCAGUUAUGUAUUUCAAAAAGUCAUGACAUAAUAUAAAGAAUUAUUAUUUUCUUGCACCUGACUUUAUACAUCUCUGAGAUUCUGUUUUAAACAUCACCCAUAUUUUUAACAAUUGCUUUGAAAAUUAUGCAACAUGAGUAACAAUGUUCAAGCUGUAAGUUUCUAUUUGUGACACAUAUGUACUUGAAUUGAGAUAUAGAUAGUGCAUGUAGCUGUUCUGCCAAGAAAUUAUAUUCUUAUUCCUUAAAUGGAUCCUUGCCUGGCCCCCCAGUUUGUUUUUUGUGGAUAUUUGAUUUCAUGGUUUUGUGAAAGUUUGUUGCAUAAUAUAAGCCUGUAGAAAAUUUGUGGUUUCUCUAUAACUAUGAACAAACCAAGAAACAGUGAUGGAACAGAAUAACUGGAAAGUUUGUACUCCACCAAUAAUUAUGAAUUUGCAGUACUUGCCAUAUAUUUAAAAAAAAAAAAAAAGGAAAAGAAACAGUGGGAUGGUCAUGCUGUGACUAUAAGUUAAGAAAUUUUGAUUACUUUUUGGUUGCUGUCCCAUUCAUAUAUACCCCACACCUCCUUUUAUUCAGUCUCAGUUAACAGCAAAACUUGUACAAAAAAAUAUGCUUGGUAAAAGUAUUCAGAGUUAAUGAAAUAAAGGUAUAUUUUGAAAUAUCACUGUAUACAAAUUGUGACUUGGAUGGAGAGUUGUCUCAUUGGCACUCAUGUCACAUUUUCUUUUCCACAUAUCAUCUGAAUUAUGUAUAUAAUAAUAAUAAAUAAAUACUAAGUGUCAGCUGACAUGGACUUGAUUUGUGUACAUUAUUAUGUAAAUAAAUUCAAAUAUUAUCAUCAUAAGACGUUUGUUUACCUAGACAGUUGUUAAUUAAUUACGAUCUUAUUUGUAAUUAUUUAUAUUAAACCCCCUAAGGUCAUGGCAUAAAAGAUUUGUUUGUGAUAGAUGUGUUAAUUUGGUAUGAGGGAAAGUUUAAUGUUGAGCUAAUAACAUGAUUAAACAUCAGAGUACAGCCUUUGAAAGUUCAAUUUAUUUCCUUGAGUCUUGACUUACAAAAAAGUAAAAUAAUAAAAAUACUGAACUCUGAGGAAAAUUCAAAAUGGAAAGUCCAUUAUCAAAUGGCAUAAAUAUAUUGUUUGAACACAUCAAAGCAAUGGUGAAGACUGUCAUAUUCCCAACUUGGUACAGUCAAAUAUUGAAUGAAUCUUUUUAUUGCAAAGCAUAGACAUGCUAUAGCAAAAUUAACAACACAUAUUACAUAUUGUAUAAUACAAUGACAUCUAUACUAUUAAACGAGAAGACCUCAUUUUUGGUGUCGCUUCUCUUCUUUCCAGAAUAAAUUAAUCAACACUCCUCUGUGUCCUAUAGGUGCAGUGCAUAGUCGCAUUUGUCACCAUUCAUAUGAUUAUUCAGAUUGAGUUAUUUUAGGAGAAAAAAGAAAAAAGGCAUCCGGAUAUUGUCCGUCAUUGGUAGACGAAAUUUAAGUCAGAUUAGUCUUGCCGGUUUGCCGUUUUUUCUGUAAUACUUUGAACAUACUAUACUACGAAUAAAGUUAUUUUCAGAAUUUUAUCUGCUUAUCAUUUUUCAAGUUUACUAUCCACGGCGGUCACAGAGUUACAUUUUAAUAGAGAGGGUCUGAUACUAUAUCACAUGAUCAACCAUGGAUCGAUUAGAAACUUAGGAAUUGAAAGUAAUACGCUUUAUUAUAUGUAAUGAAUGUUCAUAAUAAUAAGAUAGCGCUAAAAUUAUUCAUUGGAGACUUUUGAUACUUUUUCUGAAAUUCCUCAUUAAAUCUUUUUACAAAUUCAUUGAUUACAUAAAAAAAAGAAGAUGUGGUAUGAUUGCCAUGUGUUAAGAACAACUCCUCCACCAAGAGACCAAAAUGACACAGAUAUUAAACAACUGAUGAUAUAUUAUAUAUACUAUUAUAUUAUAUAUACUAUAUAUAUAUAUAUAUAUAUAUAUAUAUGUAUAUAGGUCACCGUAUGGCCUUGUCAACAAAGAGCAAAGCCCAUACCGCAUACUCAGCUUCAAAAGGCCCGAAAUGACAAUUAACACAAUGCAAACGAGGAAAACUAGCGGCCUUAUUUAUGUACAAAAAAUAAUGAAAAAAAAUGAUGUAACACAUAAACAAACUACAACCAAUGAAUUACAGGCUCCUUUACUUAAAUAAAUGUUCAUUACUAACUAAAUGUAUGUUCAUAUGAAAUUGAUAAAACAAAAAUUGGGAACUUUGGAAAUAAAUGGUCGAGGGUAAAGGAUAAAACAUUUCCCUAGUCCAGCCAAAUAACCUAGCUGGACUUUGACUUAUGAAUACUUUUUGCUGAAUUCUCCCAGUCAUUUCUCGUAUUUUAGAAAAUUGCUUCCAACAACACUUUACAUACUUUAAACUACGCUCUGAAUGCCCGCGAUUUCGCGGGUGUGUUCUAGUAUAAAUUAAGUUAUGAGACUAUAUAAGAUCGAAUAUUCCAUGCAGCUUUUACAUAAUUACAUAAUUCUCAGUAAUGUCUUGAAACAUUUAUGUUGUGCAAUGUUGAAUUUGUCAAAUUUGUAUCAAUUUUUCAGGAGAAUUCAUUAAGUUUGACCAGACAAGAUCCAUUGGUUGGGAAUGUUUUGAUUACAUAUCAGUUAUCAUUUUAUCUAGUAAUGGAGUUGGAGGAAAAUAUUUUAAAUUUUGAUCAGAUAUAACAGGAAUAUUGAAACUAAAGGGCAACAUAAGAUCUAUUUCAAUUUCAAUUUCAACUGAAUAAUUGAUGAAUCCAUUGAAAAACAUCAAAUAUGUAAAUAAUUGUUGGAUUGAUCAAAUUUGAAAGUCACUAAUCAGAACAAUUAUUAUGCUUAGACCAGACAUGUACCUUAAUUUUGUUUGUUGACCAAUGUUGCAUUUCCCAAAUGGAAUUUGAAAUGGAAAAUAUCCAGAAUUUUUAUCAAAUUUAACAGGAAUAUGGAAACCAAACAGCAACAUAAGAUCUAUUUCAACUGAAUCAUUGAUAAUCUCAUUGAUAUACAUGCCUAUACCAGCCUCAGUACUGAUAAACAAUACAAGGAAAACUGCCAAGAAUACUUCCUUUGAUAAAUUUCCUCACCUUUUAACAAAAAUAUAGAUAAUUUUCUUUGACCAAGCCCCAGAAUGCUUUCACAUUAUUGUAAACAAAUUGGUUAUCUAUAUAUAAACAGAUAGAGCUAUCAGGCACACGUCUGACAACAGAGAAAUAAUAUCCAUUCUAUCAUUUCAGGAUCAGUAAGAACUGAUAGAGUGAGACGAAUUAUCUGCCAUAGAAAAAUUCCUCAAUCAAAAAGGUU
rnacentral:lncRNA from 1 species